UAAUGUAUUAGAUAUAUAAAUCCGCAUUUACUAUUACACACUACAAAAAACGAUACUCUUUCUACGUAUAACGAACUGCUAUUUAUAACUAGGUAGGUAAGGUUAAGAACUGCGACCCCUACACAAAACGAACCGCUACCAGAAAAGUAGGUUAGGUUAGGUUAGAAUUGCGUCCAUUACACUAAACGAACCGCUACCAGAAAAGUAGGUUAGGUUUGAAUUGCGACCCUUACAGAAA